GCUGACGAUAUCAGCAGUGGAAGACUUUCUCAUUUACAGUACGCAGAAAGAAAAGCUUAGCUUAGUGCUGAUGUAAUGGUUUAAUGAUAAAGAGUUUCCUCUUUUUUUCCUCAGGCUGUAGCGCUACUAUAAAGUUCUAUUUGUAAGUUAUAGUUUUCUCUGUUGCGUAUGUUGCGGACCUAGUUUAUUUAGUCGCAAACUCUGUGCUUUUUAGCUUUAUUCGACAGGUUUAUAUGGUAAUUUAGUCGUGGAUAUUUAACGUUAACCUCGAAUCCCACGACAACCUAAACUUAUUUUUUAAACAUUCACGGACCCUUUCCAUGCAAUUUGACUGAUUGGAUCUCACUCACUCACAGUGCUGUUUGUGUGUGCAAGCAGAAAUGUUGUGCACUGCUCCUUAUCAGCAUGAAAAAGCCGCUGAGCAAGGGUUACUUUUAAGUUUGGCCCACAGGUGCAAUGGAGAGGAAGUAGUCCGGCUCGCGUUUGCAGCGCAGGGCGAGCAGAAGAGGACCGACUGCAUACAGCAGGUUGAGGAGGAGGACUGGCACCAGGGCCGUGGUGGGAAUCCUGUACAUUUCUGCAGUGCGUGAGUGCAGAGACGCUCCGAUAUGAGACCACUGGCACUG